UUGGGCUGCAAAGGCAGGACAGAGAUCUGGAGGCUAGAAGGUGCCUAGAGAGAGAUUUCAGCUCAGUUACUUUCCAACUGUGAGUUCUUCAGAGAUGGGAUGGGCGUUAUUGAAUCAAAUAGAAGCUAGACAGUGGUUUGGUCUGGUGUUUAUGGAGGGGCUUCUGCCUUGGAUGAAGACCCCUGGUGGCACAGUGACUGGUUAAAUGCUUGGCUGCGAACCUAAAGGCUGGCAAUUCAGACUCACCUAGUGGCUCCGUGGGAAUACUCCCAUUUUUCAUAGCCAAUGUGUUAUAUUUUGAACAUUCUAUGACAAAACAUUGUAGAAGCUCGACAGGUAUGUUUUGCUUUUUAAAGAUUUUGACAAUGUUUAAAAUUCAGAAGUUUAACAUAAUAAAUCUAGAUUUCCAGCUUCUUCUGUAAAACUGAUAAUCUGGGCUCUUUGGGUCUUCAUUCCCAUAUAGCCCCAAGUUUAUAGAGCUGAGGAGGGGCUGACCCCAUCAGGAGUGGCCUAUUCCUUCCACUUGGCACACUCCGUCCCCAGCCUGCUUCGCUCCUAUCUUACCUGCCCGACCCCUAAAGGCAUUUGAGUUUGUGACUUCCCGAAGUGGAUAAAAUAGGCUUUUGUGGGCUAGCCUGGGAACUCAACCAGUAUGCUUAAUAUUAUUUCAAUGGGAAAAUGUGUUCCAACUUUUAAAGAGUGGAUUUUUGAAACAUCAGUCUUUGCAAAUGUGGGAAUGCUUAUAGGGUUCUCGACUAGAAUGUGUGUGCCUUGGGGUGAUGGCCUGUGUGUACUACUUCUCCUGUGCUGUACUGGCUUAGCACUUACUGUUAUUAGAUGCUGUGGAGUUGGCUUCGACUCAUGGCAACCUUACGUAUAGCAGAACGAAACGUUACCUGGUCCUGCACCAUCUUUAUGAUCGUUGGUAUGUUUGAGUCCAUCGUUGUGACUGUUGUGUCAGUCCAUCUCAUUGAGCAUUUCCCUCAUUUUCACUGACCCUCUGUUUACCAAAUACAAUGUUCUUUUCUAACGAUUGCUCUUCCUGAUGAUGUGUCCAAAGUAAGUGAAUCGAAGUCUUGUGAUCGUCUCUUCUAAGGAGCAUUCAGAUUUUGUUUCUUCUAAGACUGAUUUGUUCAUUUUUUGGGCAGUCUAUGCUUAGCACUUAGUAGGCACUUAAUAAAUGAUUUACCUCAUGGAGUCAUUAAGGCCUGUUGUCUGCCUUCCUCUCAGGCAGCAAACAGAAACGCCUUCUCACUGUGGGCCUGGACCUGUUAGUUCUGCUUGAGACCGGAUUGCUGCCUGAUUUACCUAGAUCUCCCACUUUCAGCUGGUAGAUACCCAUACGAAAUUUUAGGGUCAGUCCCCUCUACAUCUCCGCUGUCUUGAGAGAAGCUGUUUCUUUACCUGAUUAAAGAUCCUGUCAGUGUAGAGUCAGCCCUAACGAGGAAAUGAGGCCUGUGCUCAGCUGGCCUUUCUAGGUGAUGACCGCCAAACUAGAGUUUGUGGCAGUUACAGAGUGCUUUUUUUCCAGACCCUGGACAAAUGUUGGGUAAAAGUUCAGCUCAUUCCCUUUAAAGAAAAAAAUUUUUUUUCUUUGGAAUUUCAAAAGUUUUGACCCAGAUCAGUCAGAGGCCAUUGAGAGCUUGCGAUGUCUGGAGAGUUUGUUUCGUUCCUGAGGCCUGUAGCUGCAGAGAAGCUGAGGAGAUCCAGUGACCUCCUGGGCCGGAGCUGAAGCUCAACCUUUUCAAGUUUGCCCCGCCCUGGCCUCCCCAGUCCUCCGAGAGUGGAUGGAAGGAGCCAGCACCUUCAACUCACUCAGAAGUUAUCUUUACCCCCUGAAAUCAAACACUGCGCACAGCACCCUGUAAAACUGCUUCCUCGUAGGCUUGAGCUUGCUAAGUAAACAUCCUCCCAUGUUUUUGGAACUGAGUUCAUUUCUGCUUCCUGGUCAUCCCGUUUGGGUUUUUCUAUGCUCAGCGCCACACAGAAUCAGAUUGAUAGAAAGAAGGCCUAGAAUUGGGCAGAGGCACCAAAGAGGACUGUUUUAAUCUUCGUAAAAUUGUGAGAAGAGGAAGGGGGUUUUGGGAAGAAAAAGAUACAGGUGAAAAGUGAAACAGAACAGAGCUUUCCUAAACAUAGGGUCAUCAUCGUGCUUUGAAAGUCAGAGUAGACCCCAUCGGAACCUGAGACGGGACUUUUCUUUGCGUGGACCAAGCUCAGUUUUGCUCUGGUUGUAUACCACAGUUGGCCUCUCUGUGCAAAUUCUGUGGCUGUAUAUGUCCCUCCUCUGACCCUGCCCUGCUCACUCUCCGUCUCUCAUGACUUAUUUGCUUCUUCUCUCUCACUUCCACCCACCCGUGACAUCUCCAUCGCCAUGGCAGUGAGCAGCCACGUCAUUCACCAAGUUCACGGGGUGAUGGGCCAACUCGGUGCUGAGCCCUACUUCCUCUAGUUCCCCCUCCUGAAGCAGGAGGCUCCCGGGCAGAGCUCAGAGCCCUUUGUUUAUUUGAUCCUGGGCUCUUGGAUAAAUCAGGAAUGUCCUGACAUGAACUUAGGCAUGUUUUUCUUCCAUGGCGAAGAAAACUACGGCAAAUGGGAUUUAAGUAGGCAGAGGACCAUUCCAGGGCACUUGCUUUAGUGCCAUCAAGGCCACAUUCCUUUGGUUAUCAGACCAGUAGGUGACUUCUUUAUCGGCAUGCUCUACCCUGGAGCCCAGAAGGUGUGAAUUUGAAGCAUUUCCCCCACUGCUGGGAGCCUGGCACAGUCGCUCUGAGCUUCUUUUAAGACUCUGGUGCCAUGGUUGUCUUUCAAAUGGUCCUUGUUUCUGUUGGGUGAAACCUUGUGCCCCAGCAUCGUUGCUUGAAGAAGUAGUUGCUUGGGAAGUGGGGUCUAGGAUAAGGUGGCUGUCUGGCGUGUUUUUCUUAAGCCAUCUUCCUGUAAGUUGUAAGGUUCUUGAUAUGAUAUACUUUUUGAGGAAACUGCCCCAGUACCUGAAUAUUUCCCUCACUUCUCGUCAUGCCUCAAGGCACAUAUGGUACAGCUGGUUGUUGGAAACCUUUGCCAGUCUGCAUUCUGUUGAUGUAGCAGUGUGUGGGAACCCUAGACUCCCUGAGUCCCUCUGGAUGUACUGUCCAGUGGAUUAAUAUCUGAGCUGUUCUUGGAGACCUUUUUGGGUCUGCGGACAGGAAAGCAUUGGGACCUAUGUGCUUGGCUGCUUGCUGCAGUGGAGACUUGUCAGUAUCCAAAAAGAACCUCAGUCAGUCUCCAGAGCAUUAAUAGGACCUCUGCCUCCCCUGGUGAGGCUCAUCUCGCUUGGCUGCCCACCUGGGAGAGGAGGACCCAGGUGUUGGCGACUUCAGGUCCAGGCUUAGCUGUUUCUGUUUUGCUGCCUUUCAUGUCGUCAGGAGGAUCUUCUUGGGAACAAAUGACUCAGCAACCUGAACCUCUGGGACCGUGUGGCCUCAGUGCCUUUUGAGAAGCAAUUGAAGUAUCUGCCUAGGCCCUAAAACUCGGAGCCCGGGAAGAAUGGAAAUUCACACGGGUGUUGUGCUGGCUUCUUCAGCCUACUGUUCAAUUUGGUUUCUCAAAUUCCUGACCUGAUAGAAGGAUCUCACUCAUGGGGUAAGCAGGCAAUGUUUUAAUUAUGCUUUUUGUCCUUAGGAAAUUCCAGGGAGAAAAAGGCCCUGGUUUGUGGCCAAAAAGCAAAAACCAGAACAAAACAAAAUCAGCUAUGGUUGUUAUUCUGGACUUGUCUGUGGCAGAAAGAGUUAAUGGGGUGGUGGUCUCAGGGUGAGGACUGUUUGUUUCCUCAUGGCUGAGAGAAGCUCACAUGGUUCUAGAAAAGAUGAUGCAACGUUUAGCAUGGGACAGCCGUGGCUGGACUCUGGGGGCUGUCACUCAAAGAGUUAAGCUGUUCUUGUGGCUAGGAAGUCCUCAGGGAAGGAGCAAGCCUGCAGGGACCUGGACCUCUAUGCCCCAGAACAGUGAGGUGUGGGGUGAAAAACGGACUGGCUGGAAAGUGUGGCCAGGGAAGCAGAGUGUAGGCCCAACUUUUUUUUGCCUUGUUUGACCAGCCUUGGCACUGCCCUCCGGCUCUCCAGGGGAAAAGCUGCAGUUCUGCUCUUGCAACACAAGGAGCAGACUGGAGAAUUUAGAUCUGCGUCACAGAGCUCAGAGAGAGAGAGAGCGCGAGAGCUCCAUCGAUAGGUCUGCUAGCAACAGCCGUGCUGCAGCAGAGAGAGAGAGAGAAAUCAAGAAACAAGUCAUAGCAACACCGGGCACCAGGUCUGCCAGCUCACUUGCCAAGCUUCCGGAAACCUGCUGGGGGCCGGAGGCCUCUGGGUAGCCUAGGCUAAGGAGAUGACAUGCAAGGUGGCACGGGCGGCUCCCGCGGGGAGGACGCGAGGUGGUGGUGGGGGGCAGGGGUGGUAUCAAGAUGUUGUAGGGUGACGGUGGAAGGUUUAACGGGACAAAAUUCUGGAACCUUCGGGACUGUGGCACCUUGCGGGCCAGACAGAGAUUUGGGUCUGCGCAGGCGACGGUGGGUGGUCCGACGGGCUCCCGGACUUGACGGUGUAACCCCCAUCUUCCCCCACGUACGUAUUUGCUGGGACCAGGGGCGAUGUCUCUGCGUGUGGGGGCUCUUUCUUUCUCACCUCUUUUCUCGCUUUCUGCUAUUUUUUCUCUGGGGGAGAAUUUUUCUUUCCCACUUUAAUUUCUUUUCCCUUAGUGUCAGCUGCUCAAGCCUGACCAAGGUGGAGGAGAGAGAAGUGAACUGUCUCCUGCCUCCCACUUGACCUCCCAGCCUUUACCCCGUUUCCCUCUAGUGAACAGAUAGAUGGACAGACUGGUUUGCCAGGUUGUUUGGGUGUCGAUGUCUGUCUGUCCACGCAGUUCUUAGGUAGAAGGUAGGGAGCGAGGAGGGAAGGCAAGAGGAACAGUUUUCCAGGGGUUACCUUCUUGAAAUGCUUGUCCCUGGGAAUAAGAGUCUGGUGGGAGCAAUGUGGUGGGUAGGAUGGGGCGUGGGCUGGGAGAAGUGGGGUGAAGCUGGUGGGUUUGUCACUGCGUAGUUGGGCAAAGUGGUGAGUGGUGACGCAGUCACUGUUGCAUCUCGUUAGGAGCUCUAGAGGGGCAGGUAGUGAGGCUCUCUGGGUCUGAGGGCCAGCUGAGAGGGGUUAAGGAUGAGCUGAGAAAGGAAGCUAGCAUUUAGAGAUUAAAUGUCAUCCUUUUGGCGUUGGAAAGUUGUUUACCUUGCGCUCUCUGUGUCUCCAUGUUGGCACCCUUCCAGUUCACAUGUGAUGGCCUUCCCUGUACUGCUGCAUCAUUAACUAAGUGACUGAGCUGGCCUUCCAUUGGCCAGGGGAGGGCUCUCACUACAGACACUCUUCUGAUUGGUGGGUAGCCCGAUGGCAGGUGAAAACAUUUUUUUGAUUGGCCAAGGGCAGGGUAUCAAAUCUGAAUUUGCAUUUCACUUGCUUAAAGGGGAGGGGAGAGAAGCCCAGCAGCUUUCUAAAAUCUCUUUAGGGGUGUGCGUAUGCUUGUGUGUCUGUGCCGGCUUCUGACUGACCAUUGAAGCCUCUUCCUGUGCCUUUUUUAUUUCAUGCACUAUAAGGAAGAGGAGCUCAGGGCUCCACGAACUUUUUUAUGGGAGUGUAGAGGGUUUGGGGAGGUGGGUGUGCAGAGGGUUGACCAAAUUGGAAGAAAAUGUUUUUGUCCUUUAGUUGGGUAUCAGAAAAGGGAAUUUUCCAAUCAGCCCCACCUCAGUGUUGCGGCAGAAUAAUUCUUGGCUCCUUAGAAACGCACGGGUAAGGUAGGGUAGAGCUGCUGUUGCUGAUAUUGCCACCACCCAGGGCUUCCUGCUGACUCUGGGCUGCUCCCCCGGGACCAGAGAUUUGCAUUGACGUCCCUGGCUGUCCAGAAGCCCUCAGGAGCCAGUCGUGAGCUGAGCCCAGUAUGGGAAGGACCUGCUUUCUGGAAGCUGCUGCUACCUGGUGCUUGGAAAGAGACCUUGGGAGAGUUUAGUUAGCUCUACGAGUAAGUGACAGUCUUUUUGAGACUCAUCCAUGGCUGAGGAUGGUGCUGUAUGCAGGAGACAACCAUCAUCCGGUGGGAUAGAAUAGCUGGUUUGCAUUUACUGGAAACGAAAAAUAAAGGAGAUGCCUGCCAGCCCUGGUUCUCUGUGGUAAGUAUUGGUCUGCAUUCUUCUACAUUCUUUUAUUUCUUCAGACAUCAGAAGUGGAUAGAUGUUUAUUGAACCCAGCCAGCUGCUGUGCCUUUGCCAUUCUUCUCCUGCACACCCCCGCCCUUAGUCCUUCUGAAGAGAGGACUAGAUUGAUUUUCUAGUGCAACUGGAGAGCUGCAGAGAGGUUGGAAGUCUGUGUUCAGUCCCCACACAGCCCCCUCACAUUCAGGAGAAGUCAAUUUUCCCUUAAAAUGGAGCCAUCAGCCCAUGUCCCUCGGUGCAGUGGGCUAAUGGGCUGAAUGGAAGGACCCUGUUUGCCCUCGCUGCCCCCAGCCUGUGGGUGAGGCUCUCAGUUGGCUGGCUGCGGGAGGACGGUCCUUGCCAGCACCUAGCAUGGUUCUCUGCCAAGUUCUAGCUCCAGAUCUCUAGGCUGGAAGGAACCUAGACUAUAUAUAGCCUUGUGCUAAGCAAUUCUUAUCGGACGUGUCUGCCCUCCCCUGCAGGAGAGGAGCACUUCUGUCAGAGAACCAGAACCCAGAGAGUGUGAGCCAUCUCCAUGGGGCCUUUUAUUCUGGAAAGGGGUGUGUGCGUGUGCAUGUGCGCGUGUGUGUGCGCGCGCGCGCGCGCGCAUAUGUCUGUGUGGUUCAGAGCUGCCAAGCCUUAUUUCCUUUCCCGUAUGUCAGAUGCUGGUGGAUUCAGAGGUCAUGCUGGAUGACAGCGCUGAUGUGGGGUGAGGCCAGGAAAGACGGAGGGUUGUCUGAUGGAUGCCGGGCUUGGAGGGGAGGCCAGGGCCACGGGCAGGCUGAAGGCACAGUUGCGCCCGCAUCGGAGGUCAGCCUCUGAUUUCUCCUCUUAGUUUCCUGUUUGCCUUGCUUUGCCCGAGGAUGCCUUUUGACCUCUUUCUUCCUUCUUUUGACCCAUUGCAUUCCCUGCCUUCCUUCCCCUCUUCCUCCUUUUUUGGAUUUUCUGUAGGGUAUAUGAGGGCACACUUCACUGUGGGCAUCCGGGAGCUGUGUCCGCUCUCGGCCCUCAUUCCCAUUUGUUUUUGGUUAGGCAAAGCAGGGUCAGCCAUCUCAGGAGGAAGCUGGGUGGUGAAUGCGGGUGUUGUGCUGGGUAGUAUUUAUAGGGCAGGGCUGGUUGGACGUCGUCUUCUUCCCUCUCCCAGGUGCUGUUGAGCCACCAACUUGUGUGGUUCUCUGACUGAAGUGCUGAUUGUGGUGACAUGAUCCCUGUCUUGUCAGUGAAUCAUCACAAGUCUGGAAACCAGAUGCAGCAAGGAAGAUAGGACUUAACCCUUCCCUACCUCCCAGCCUGAACUCAUGUCUGAGACCACACGCCAUCCUGGUAAAUGAGGAGGAAGGCGGAGAGGGAAGGGGACAGACAGAGGAAGAGAACAUGGACACCUGGCUCCUGGCCUCUCUCCAGGACAGCCUCCAAAGAAUUUAAUCUGCUGG